rnacentral:rRNA from 1 species
AUUGAACGCUGGCGGCAGGCCUAACACAUGCAAGUCGAACGGUAACAGGAAGACGCUUGCUUCUUUGCUGACGAGUGGCGGACGGGUGAGUAAUGUCUGGGAAACUGCCUGAUGGAGGGGGAUAACUACUGGAAACGGUAGCUAAUACCGCAUAACGUCGCAAGACCAAAGAGGGGGACCUUCGGGCCUCUUGCCAUCGGAUGUGCCCAGAUGGGAUUAGCUAGUAGGUGGGGUAACGGCUCACCUAGGCGACGAUCCCUAGCUGGUCUGAGAGGAUGACCAGCCACACUGGAACUGAGACGCGGUCCAGACUCCUACGGGAGGCGGCAGUGGGGAAGAUUGCACAAUGGGCGCAAGCCUGAUGCAGCCAUGCCGCGUGUAUGAAGAAGGCCUUCGGGUUGUAAAGAACUUUCAGAGGGGAGGAAGGGAGUAAAGUUAAUACAUUUGCUCAUUGACGUUACCCGAAGAAGAAGCACCGGCUAACUCCGUG